UAAUGGCCCACCAAGGCGACGAUCGGUAGCCGGACUGAGAGGUUGAACGGCCACAUUGGGGCUGAGACACGGCCCAGACUCCUACGGGAGGCAGCAGUGGGGAAUAUUGCACAAUGGGGGAAACCCUGAUGCAGCGACGCCGCGUGGAGGAAGAAGGUCUUCGGAUUGUAAACUCCUGUUGUUGAGGAAGAUAAUGACGGUACUCAACGAGGAAGUGACGGCUAACUACGUGCCAGCAGCCGCGGUAAAACGUAGGUCACGAGCGUUGUCCGGAAUUACUGGGUGUAAAGGGAGCGCAGGCGGGCGAUCAAGUUGGAAGUGAAAUCCAUGGGCUCAACCCAUGAACUGCUUUCAAAACUGAUUGUCUUGAGUAGUGCAGAGGUAGGCGGAAUUCCCGGUGUAGCGGUGGAAUGCGUAGAUAUCGGGAGGAGCACCAGUGGCGAAGGCGGCCUACUGGGCACCAACUGACGCUGAGGCUCGAAAGUGUGGGUAGCAAACAGGAUUAGAUACCCUGGUAGUCCACACCGUAAACGAUGAUUACUAGGUGUUGGAGGAUUGACCCUUUCAGUGCCGCAGUUAACACAAUAAGUAAUCCACCUGGGGAGUACGACCGCAAGGUUGAAACUCAAAGGAAUUGACGGGGGCCCGCACAAGCAGUGGAGUAUGUGGUUUAAUUCGACGCAACGCGAAGAACCUUACCAAGUCUUGACAUCCUGCGACGAUGCUAGAAAUAGUAUUUUCCUUCGGGACGCAGAGACAGGUGGUGCAUGGUUGUCGUCAGCUCGUGUCGUGAGAUGUUGGGUUAAGUCCCGCAACGAGCGCAACCCUUAUGGUCAGUUACUACGCAAGAGGACUCUGGCCAGACUGCCGUUGACAAAACGGAGGAAGGUGGGGAUGACGUCAAAUCAUCAUGCCCUUUAUGACUUGGGCUACACACGUACUACAAUGGCGUUAAACAAAGAGAAGCAAGACCGCGAGGUGGAGCAGAACUCAGAAACAACGUCCCAGUUCGGACUGCAGGCUGCAACUCGCCUGCACGAAGUCGGAAUUGCUAGUAAUCGCAGAUCAGCAUGCUGCGGUGAAUACGUUCCCGGGCCUUGUACACACCGCCCGUCACACCAUGAGAGCCGGGGGGACCCGAAGUCGGUAGUCUAACCGCAAGGAGGACGCCGCCGAAGGUAAAACUGGUGAUUGGGGUGAAGUCGAAACAAGGUAGCCGUAGGAGUACCUGCGGCUG
rnacentral:rRNA from 1 species